GCAUUUCCCACUUCCUGGAAAGAUCUAGGUUGUUACCAUGGUAUUCGUCCUGGUGGGAGAACUUUGAAAUUCAGUUAAUUUUGAACUGCUGAUGGCUUGAACUUCUUAUCCCUGGGCCCCCCUUUUAAUGUUGGCACAUUGAUCUCUUUAAACCUUCCGGGAACCUUGUCUGUUUCUCAUGGAGAGACCCCAGUUGCGUCUGCGCCCUUCACAAUGCCCCAACUUGUUUCCUGCUCUCACUCUGAUGCUGGAGUACAGCCACGUGGAAGGUUAUUCUACUCCAUUACUUUAGUAAAUUACUGCUAAGGAAGUUCUCACACGGCCAUUGUGGGAAAGAGGUAAGCACCCCUCUUAUGAGGGACUGCUCCUUUUAAAGAAUGGAAAUGUCUAAGACAUGUAAACUGCGUGGAACUGACAAAAUCCAUUACAGCUGUAGUACAAAACAGCCACCACAAUUCCCUGUGCAUGCUAGAGGAAGGGAGGCCGGCUGUCGUUUUAGCCAGACUGGGACUGUGGAUAGAGCACGUGAUCAUUUACUCUGCACAUUUUGGCUCUGGGACCUUCCUGUGUGUAAAAGAAGACGUCUCUGCUCACCUUUUCUUGUGUUUAAAUAUUAAAAGAAGACCAACUGAAAGCGUCAAAAACAAAAACAAGACACCAAAUAGAAACCAACCAAACCAACAGAACAAACCACACAGUCAACCAAAGAAAAGUAGACUUAUCUGACUUUACCAAAAUGAUAAAACUUGCUUCCUCAAAGGACAUCAUCAAGAUAUUAUAGUCAAAAUAGAGAAUGAGAAAAAUAUUUAUCACAUAGUAUCUAUAAUAUAUAAAUAUACAAAGAGCUGUUUUGUAGUCCACUGACAGACAGUGCCGUUUAAAAGUGGGUUAUGGCUUGACGGUGGAGCACGUGCUUCAGUCCGAGUGCUAAACUAAAAUCUCAAAAUGGGAAAAGAUUUCAGUGGCACCUUCUCCAUUGAAGACACACAAAUCGCCAAUAACUAUACUUAAACCAUUAGGAAAGAGGCAGAAGGCUCAUGAGAUCCAGAGCGUCAACAAACCUCACAGGUCAAAGAAAGACAAAAUUUACAAGCUUCACACCCUCGAAGUUACAGAAGCAAUAAUCAACUGCUGGGGUGGAGACUCUGGCCAGCCAAGUUGAGCCGAAGAAACUGUCCAGCUGCCAGUAAGUCAUGCAAACAGUUCCAGGGGUGAAGCUUUCUGGUACUGGGGUGAGCUCAGCAAUGCAGAUGCUUUUGAGUCAUGUAACCCUUCAUCCACACUCCUGUGAGCAGCCCUUGCAAAGAACCUUGAGUCAUCAAGUUGGCCUCAAGUGUAAUCAUUACACUGUCUGUCAUAGAUUCCUUAUCUGGGCUUAGUAGAUGUGUAUAGGCCCUCUUUACCUAAGAAAAGUCUCACACCACAGGAAGACAUGAUGGAGCUCUUGGCUAAACUACACUAGAGUUGAGGCAAUAUAGGUUCUUCAUGACGUCCUUCUACUAGAAAAACUUCUAUGAGGCUUCAGCUCCAUGUAAGAGCCAACCCAAUUAUUUUCCUGCAAGAAUGGGUGACAGAUUCGUCAAUGUCCUGUCCUGCUGUCCCCACUCAUCCAUCUAUCUUGAACUCUCUCUUCCUACACUGUAUCUGGUGCUACCCACAAACUGGAGCAUGGAACCCAAAAGAAACAGGAUCAAUAUGUUUCUCAUCUUAGAGUUUAUCCGUGGUCUUUAAAGAUUAAAGAGAGAUCCAGCCUGUGGUUUUCUUUCACUUUUGCCUAGCCUUUGCAAACCCGAAUUAUCUGCAAACACUAAAUGAGCUUCUAAUAUGUGCAAAGCUUUUUCUAAGCACCUGGACUUGGGGGCAAGAUUGGUUGAGAAAUGUGGAAAAUAUAAAGAGGCAAACAGGGCAUCUGUUAUGGAUGAACUCAUAGCAAGAGGGGAUGGGAGAGUCAUAGUUAAGAGAGGCAGUCUCAAUCAGUGACAGGGGUCUUUUCAGGCUGGUGGAACAGGUGUUUAAGACCUACUUAGAGGAAAUGUGUCUACUCUGCUGUCUCUAAUAGGGAGUAAUCCCACUGUCUCUGUCAAAACAUCUUACAGAAAAGAAGGGUUCCCAGGUGAGGAAACAGAAAAUACCAAAGAAAGAGAGGAAUAGUGACUAAGCCAAAAUUUCAAAAUGUUCCUGGUUG
ensembl:lncRNA